rnacentral:rRNA from 1 species
UCGCAGCCAUAUCACCCUGUAGCCCUGUAGCCCAAGACUGGUUGCCCACUGAAGCUACGCAGGGUUGAGCCUGGUCAGUACCUGGAUGGGAGACCUCCUGGGAAAACUAGGUUGCUGCUGGAA